rnacentral:rRNA from 1 species
GAUGAACGCUGACGGCGUGCCUAAUACAUGCAAGUCGAGCGAACGGACGAGAAGCUUGCUUCUCUGAUGUUAGCGGCGGACGGGUGAGUAACACGUGGAUAACCUACCUAUAAGACUGGGAUAACUUCGGGAAACCGGAGCUAAUACCGGAUAAUAUUUUGAACCGCAUGGUUCAAAAGUGAAAGACGGUCUUGCUGUCACUUAUAGAUGGAUCCGCGCUGCAUUAGCUAGUUGGUAAGGUAACGGCUUACCAAGGCAACGAUGCAUAGCCGACCUGAGAGGGUGAUCGGCCACACUGGAACUGAGACACGGUCCAGACUCCUACGGGAGGCAGCAGUAGGGAAGCUUCCGCAAUGGGCGGAGGCCUGACGGAGCAACGCCGCGUGAGUGAUGAAGGUCUUCGGAUCGUAAAACUCUGUUAUUAGGGAAGAACAUAUGUGUAAGUAACUGUGCACAUCUUGACGGUACCUAAUCAGAAAGCCACGGCUAACUACGUG